UGAGUGUAUGGGAAUGUGCUUGUCUUUGCAUUAUUUCUGAAUUUGUCAUUGUCGUGAAUAUGCAUUCGUCUCUGUCUGUAUAUGAGUAGGUGUUUCUUUGUGCAUAAAAGUUGGUGUCGCUGCCUGAAUGAUUUUGAAUAUAUUUAUGUGAAUGAAUCUGCAGGCUUGUCUCUGUACAUCUGUUGUGUAUACCCAGGUGUCCAUGGAAGGAGUAG